rnacentral:rRNA from 1 species
ACUCCUACGGGAGGCAGCAGUGGGGAAUAUUGCACAAUGGGCGCAAGCCUGAUGCAGCCAUGCCGCGUGUGUGAAGAAGGCCUUCGGGUUGUAAAGCACUUUCAGUCGUGAGGAAGGUAGUGUAGUUAACACCUGCACUAUUUGACGUUACCUACAGAAGAAGCACCGGCCAACUACGUGCCAGCAGCCGCGGUAACACGUAGGGUGCGAGCGUUGUCCGGAAUUAUUGGGCGUAAAGAGCUCGUAGGCGGUGUGUCGCGUCGGCCGUGAAAACUUGGGGCUUAACUCUGAGCGUGCGGUCGAUACGGGCAUCACUUGAGUUCGGCAGGGGAGACUGGAAUUCCUGGUGUAGCGGUGAAAUGCGCAGAUAUCAGGAGGAACACCGGUGGCGAAGGCGGGUCUCUGGGCCGAUACGUGACGCUGAGGAGCGAAAGCAUGGGGAGCGAAGCAGGAUUAGA